AUUGAACGUUAGCGGCGCGCCUAACACAUGCAAGUCGCACGAGAAAGGGAGCAAUCCCCGGUACAGUGGCGCACGGGUGAGUAACACGUAGAUGACCUUCCCUGGAGUGGUGGAUAACCUGCCGAAAGGCGGGCUAAUACAGCAUGGGACCACAUGGUUUUGACCGAGUGGUGAAAGCGGGCCUCUGUUCACAAGCUCGCGCUCUGGGAUGGGUCUGCGUCCCAUCAGCUAGUUGGUGAGGUAAUGGCUCACCAAGGCAUCGACGGGUAGCUGGUCUGAGAGGAUGACCAGCCACACUGGAACUGAGACACGGUCCAGACUCCUACGGGAGGCAGCAGUGGGGAAUCUUGCGCAAUGGGCGAAAGCCUGACGCAGCGACGCCGCGUGGGUGAUGAAGGCCUCGGUUGUAAGACCUCGUGGGAGG
rnacentral:rRNA from 1 species